UAAAAUUUUUAGAGAAUUUAAAUGUUAGAAAAAUGUAAGAAAGAAUUUAAUACUUCCAUUUAUAAACAAUGUAGAUUAGAAAUUGCAAGUUUUAAUGUUACACUGCUGUCAACAGUUAAAUAUGAGGUCAAGAAAGAUGUCUU